rnacentral:misc_RNA from 1 species
UCUCCGUAGGUGAACCUGCGGAGGGAUCAUUACUGAGUGAGGGGCUCCGGCCCCAGACCUCCAACCCGUUGUUAUCCGACACUGUUGCCUCGGGGGCGACCCUGCCUUUCGGGCAGUGCGCCCCCGGAGGAUAUCAAAACGCUGCAUCUUUGCGUCGGAGUAUCAAUCAAAUUGAACAAAACUUUCAACAACGGAUCUCUUGGUUCUGGCAUCGAUGAAGAACCAGC